CCUACGGGCGGCAGCAGUGGGGAAUAUUGGGCAAUGGAGGCAACUCUUACCCAGCAAUGCCGCGUGAAUGAAGAAGGUCUUCGGAUUGUAAAGUUCUUUAAUUGGGGACGAAAAAAAUGACGGUACCCAAGGAAUAAGCCUAGGCUAAAUACGUGCCAGCAGCCGCGGUAAUACGUAGGGGGCAAGCGUUGUUCGGAAUUACUGGGCGUAAAGGGUGUGUAGGCGGUGUUGCUAGUUAGAAGUGGAAUACUUAGGGCUUAACCCAAGAUUUGCUGCUGAAACUGGAAUACUUGAGUGCGGUAGAGGUAGGUGGAAUUCGUGGUGUAGCGGUGAAAUGCAUAGAUAUUACGAAGAACAUCGAUGGCGAAGGCAACUUUCUAAGCCAUAACUGACACUGAAGCACGAAAGCGUGGGGAGCAAACAGGAUUAGAUACCCUAGUAGUC
rnacentral:rRNA from 1 species